rnacentral:rRNA from 1 species
AGUGAACGCUGGCGGUAGGCCUAACACAUGCAAGUCGAACGGCAGCACAGUAAGAGCUUGCUCUUACGGGUGGCGAGUGGCGGACGGGUGAGGAAUACAUCGGAAUCUACUUUUUCGUGGGGGAUAACGUAGGGAAACUUACGCUAAUACCGCAUACGACCUACGGGUGAAAGCAGGGGAUCUUCGGACCUUGCGCGAUUGAAUGAGCCGAUGUCGGAUUAGCUAGUUGGCGGGGUAAAGGCCCACCAAGGCGACGAUCCGUAGCUGGUCUGAGAGGAUGAUCAGCCACACUGGAACUGAGACACGGUCCAGACUCCUACGGGAGGCAGCAGUGGGGAAUAUGGGACAAUGGGCGCAAGCCUGAUCCAGCCAUACCGCGUGUGUGAAGAAGGCCUUCGGGUUGGAAAGCCCUUUUGUUGGUAAAGAAAAGCAGCAGGUUAAUACCCCGCUGUUCUGACGGUACCCAAAGAAUAAGCACCGGCUAACUUCGUG